rnacentral:rRNA from 1 species
CAAACCUAUGGGACGCAGCAGUGAGGAAUAUUGGUCAAUGGGCGGGAGCCUGAACCAGCCAAGUCGCGUGAGGGAUGACGGCCCUAUGGGUUGUAAACCUCUUUUGCCGGGGAGCAAAGUGCCGCACGUGUGCGGUUUGGAGAGUACCCGGAGAAAAAGCAUCGGCUAACUCCGUGCCAGCAGCCGCGGUAAUACGGAGGAUGCGAGCGUUAUCCGGAUUUAUUGGUUUUAAAGGUUGCGUAGGCGGACGCUUAAGUCAGCGGUAAAAUUGCGGGGCUCACCCUCGUCGAGCCGUUGAAACUGGG